rnacentral:lncRNA from 1 species
CUUCAUAAAGGUUCCCCUAGUCCAUGACAUGGAUCUCAACACCAAGCUGGUGGUGGUGUUCGCCCUUCUCCUUCUCAUGCUCCCGGCGGUCUGCUCGGCGAGGACACACACAGCAUUAGCCGUGGCCAGAAAGCGCGUCCCUCCCUCCGGGCCGAGCAACAAGGGGCACGGCGCGCCGAGGAGGUCCUCCGCCCGCCAUCUGCUGCGCCUGCACUCCCAUGAACUCCAUGUCGGCAUUGGAGUGGACGUGAGAGCGCUGAGAGUUGCGUCAGCUGACGCUUAGUGCUCCGCUCUGUUUCAUGUGUGAUAUAAGCUUAGAGUAGUCGUAGAUGAAGUGAGAAGCAUGCGAGUUAUAAGGGCUUCCUCAUAAGCCAAAGAUGGUGAAGAAACCGGUGAGAUUAACAAGUCUUGUUUGUUCUAAUAAUGCACCCAAUUCUUUUUAGUUUGUGAAGGUUUUAUCUGAUGUUGAUUUCAAAGAAGACAAAUAAAAAUUUUCUGUAAUGUUCUUCGUUCCAAAAAGACCACAACUAUAUUACUUCCAAAUAUAUUCCAAGUCCGCUAACCAAUUAUUACGAUAGUUCUAUCACUUUUAACAUCCACUUAGGCCUUAAUUAAUUAGGAAUACUAGUCAGGGAUUAAUACAUGUUUGCUAUUUUUAAUACCCUAAAUAAGAUAUUAUUAUCUUAACAUCCUUCUUCUCAGUCAGCUUUCACCAAAUGUUGAUCGGUGGGUCAUAUCCAUCACUCCCUAAUUAAUAUAUAUUAAAAAACAUAUUAUUUUCAUCUUUUCUUUCACCCUCUUCAAAAGAUUAACUAAAAAGAAAACCCCAAGAACACCUAAAGUAUUUUCUCACAUUUUGUUCCUUCACCAAAAUCUAGCUAUACAUGAGAUGAGAUGUUCAUCGCAAUAAGUUUUAAUUUGCUAGAGACUCAUAUUCCUACCUAAAUCCUUUGUCAUAAUUCACAUCAUAAGUCAUUAUAGGACUCUAAAAAUUCCAAUUACUUUCUAACAGGAUAGUUGGGAUACUAAGAAGGAAAGCAAAAAAAGAAUUAUCUUGUUCAACUAAUUUUCAAGUUAUUGUUGAUCAUCAUCUCAUCCACCAUCCAUGAUUCUAAGCUAUGAUUUAUGAGAAUUGACAGCAAACAUAUAUAUGCAUAUUAACAGAACCAACAUAUUGAUAAGCAAAUUAGACAUGAUCUUUGCAUAUUGAUAUGCAGCAGCUCAAAUGCAAUACACUACUGAACACAUGUUUCCUAUGGUUAAGCUUUCAGGGAGUCAUCAUCUCACAGAAACAGCACAGGAGGCUAACAAACAGAGGGAAAGAGAGAGAGAGAGAGAGAGAGAGAGAGAAACAUUGUUUUCCUCUUUUGCUUUAUGAUGCAAAAGCAUUGCUGUGAGUAUCACAAAAAAA